CAUCACCUAGCCCUGGUGAAGACAACGGAGGUGGGAACGGCGACCUGGUCUGACCACGCACCGGUGACUCUCACUCUCUCCUCCCCAGUAUAUAGGCCGAGGGAGACAAAAUGGAGACUGAAUGACUACCUGCUGUCCCUGCCGGAUGUCCGGACAGAGACGGAUGAGAUCCUGAAGGUUUACUUCACGACUAACACCCCGGACCAAACGUCGCCCACAUACAUCUGGGAGGCACAUAAAUGCGUGAUUAGGGGCCACUUUAUGCGCAAGGGGUCGAGGCUCAAGAGACAAAGAGAAGCCCGUAUCACGUCACUAAUACAUGACAUACAGACAACAGACGACAGUAACAAAAGGGACAACCUCCCCACACACCAGGCUAAGCUACUCGAGCUGAGAAGGGAACUGUCCACACUCCUGAAUGCCAGCCACCAUAGAGAAGCCGCCAGACAAAAAGCAUUUUUUGAGGCGCAUAGCAACAAGAGUGGUACACUGUUAGCACGAAUGCUGGCCAAACGUAGACAGCUGACAUAUAUAGACAGAAUUAAGGACAGGAAGGGAAUAACGCACCGCCUCCCCACUGAUAUACACAGGAUCAUACGCUCCUACUACAUGGACCUCUACUCCCUACUGAACCCACAAGACGCACACGCUCGAGCCAGCCUCGCGGCCCGGAUAACAGACUUCCUACACACCAACACACACACACGAAAAUGGAACAAGAAAUAGCAGACGCGUUGGACGAACCCAUCGCUAUAGAAGAAAUAGCGAUGGCAGUCAAGGCCUCCAAACUGGGCAAAAGCCCGGGCCCCGACGGCCUCCCACUACGCUACUAUAAAAGCUUCGCGGGGACCCUAUACGCACCAAUGCUGUCCUCUUUCAACGCGAUCCGGGAGGGACACCACCUGCCCCCGCAGUCCCUACGGGCACACGUCACGCUCAUCCCAAAAGAAGGGAAGGAUGGCGAUUACUGUAACAAUUAUAGACCUAUUUCCCUCAUAAAUAGCGACACGAAGCUCUUAGCGAAAAUCCUGGCGACCCGCCUGCAGCCACACGUGCCCACCCUGGUACACCCGGACCAGGUGGGAUUCGUGAUGGGACGGGAAGCCAGGGACAACACGAUUCGAGCUCUGUCAAUAG